rnacentral:rRNA from 1 species
GAUGAACGCUGGCGGCGUGCCUAAUACAUGCAAGUCGAGCGAACGGACGAGAAGCUUGCUUCUCUGAUGUUAGCGGCGGACGGGUGUGUAACACGUGGAUAACCUACCUAUAAGACUGGGAUAACUUCGGGAAACCGUAGCUAAUACCGGAUAAUAUUUUGAACUGCAUGGUUCAAAAGUGAAAGACGGUCUUGCUGUCACUUAUAGAUGGAUCCGCGCUGCAUUAGCUAGUUGGUAAGGUAACGGCUUACGAAGGCAACGAUGCAUAGCCGACCUGAGAGAGUGAUCGGCCACACUGGAACGGAGACACGGUCCAGACUCCUAAGGGAGGCAGCAGUAGGGAAUCUUCCGCAAUGGGCGAAAGCCUGACGGAGCAACGCCGCGUGAGUGAUGAAGGUCUUCGGAUCGUAAAACUCUGUUAUGAGGGAAGAACAUAUGUGUAAGUAACUGUGCACAUCUUGACGGUAACUAAUCAGAAAGCCACGGCUAACUACGUG